AGCAGCGUGGCGCAGUGGAAGCGUGCUGGGCCCAUAACCCAGAGGUCAGUGGAUCGAAACUACUCGCUGCUA
rnacentral:tRNA from 1 species